UACGGAGGGUGCGGGCGUUGUUCGGAAUCACUGGGCGUAAAGCGCGUGUAGGCUGCUUCGCAAGUCGGAUGUGAAAGCCCUGGGCUCAACCCAGGAAGUGCAUUCGAAACUGCAGAGCUGGAGUCCUGGAGAGGAAGGCGGAAUUCUCGGUGUAGAGGUGAAAUUCGUAGAUAUCGAGAGGAACACCGGUGGCGAAGGCGGCCUUCUGGACAGUGACUGACGCUGAGACGCGAAGGCCAGGGGAGCAAACGGG
rnacentral:rRNA from 1 species